CCUACGGGAGGCAGCAGUAGGGAAUAUUGCUCAAUGGUGGAAACCCUGAAGCAGCAACGCCGCGUGGAGGAUGACGGUUUUCUGAUUGGAAAAUCCUUUUGAUAGAGAAGAUAAUGACGGUAUCUAACGAAUAAGCACCGGCUAACUCCGUGCCAGCAGCCGCGGUACUACGGAGGGUGCAAGCGUUACUCGGAAGCACUGGGCGUAAAGCGCGCGUAGGCGGGAUAGCAAGUCAGAUGUGAAAUCCUAUGGCUUAACCAUAGAACUGCAUUUGAAACUGGUAUUCUGGAGUAUGGGAGAGGUAGGUGGAAUUCGUGGUGUAGGGGUAAAAUCCGUAGAGAUCAAGAGGAAUACUCAUUGCGAAGGCGACCUGCUAGAACAUAACUGACGCUGAUGCGCGAAAGCGUGGGGAGCAAACAGGAUUAGAUACCCGGGUAGUC
rnacentral:rRNA from 1 species